AAGGCUUCAGCACGACCCAGUCAGAACUAUAAGUCUCAAAGCCCCGAUGAGUAGGGUGGCGUGCCGGUGCGCGUUGAAGGCCAAGACGUGAGUCAGGCUGGAGCCGCCGGUAGUGCAGAUCUUGGUGGUAGUAGCAAGUACUCUGGUGAACCAACCUGGAGCUGUGAGGUCUGGAUUAGGGUUCCAUGUCAACAGUGAUUGAACAUGGGUGAGUCGAACCUAAGCCAACUGUGAAAGCAGUGACAUCCCGACAAAGGGGCACAUACACCCCCAAUCAAAGCUCUCGUAUUGCUCUCUCUCCUCCUCACUCUCAAAGGCUUACGAUAAGAUACACACAUAUGACACACGGCAUAUGUAUGGGCACACACACUCUCUCGAUGAGCACUCUCGUCAAAAGUUUGUGAGGGAGUAAGUAAAGUGUGUGUGCUCACAAAAAUGGUUUGGCUCUAGCUCUGGUUACGCUCAUAAGCGUUGGCGCAAACAAUGUGGAUAUACGACAUGCAUGGCACAAAAGAGAGAGAGAGAGAAACGGAGUUGGGUGAGCGUGAGUGCACUCCUGCGUUGGUUCUAUGUCCGGCGAAAGGGAAUGGGGACUUUGUUCCUUGACCGGUCCUGGCACCCUCGAUUGGCUUUGCCAAUUAAUGGUCCAUGCAAAUGGAACCAGCCCACAGCCGUUGGCAGUCGCCCGAGGAAGAGUUUUCUUUUCUGCUUAACGCACGAGGUCAUCCCUGGAAACAGUUCGGCUGGCGAAAGGGUGCCCCGCUGCGGCAGAGCGCCACGACUGUCGUGCGCGUCUCGGUGUUCCUGCUGAUCCGUGAAGACGUGGUCGAGGGGAAUGCUCUUGUAUCAACGAAACGCCUGACAAGUUCGGGACGGACCGUACCCUAUAUCCGCAUCUGGUCUCCAAGGUUCCUAGCCUCUGCAGAGUCAGUCACAUGUAGGUAAGGGAAGUCGGCAAACUCGAUCCGUAACUUCGGGAAAAGGAUUGGCUCUGAGGGCCGAGCUGGGCCGGGCCUUGCCUGCAAAGCAGUACCUAUAGUGACCGGAGUUGCAGGAGUGCGAGGGGCUCUAGUAACUGCUCGUGCGUGUGUGUGCGUUCGCGCGUGUGCAUGCGUGUGGGCACGAACGAGUCCACCUCUCCGCUCCAACCACGAACGGCUGUGACGGCAAGGGCUCUGGGCGGGAGCUAUCGGUCCGUUCGCCCCAGCUUGUCUGGGUGGCGGCGGUGCUCCGUCUGUCCCAUACGGCUCCAGCAGCCAGCGGCUAACUCAGAACUGUCAUGGACCAAGGGAAUCCGACUGUCUAA
rnacentral:rRNA from 1 species